UACGUAGGGGGCAAGCGUUGUCCGGAAUCAUUGGGCGUAAAGCGCGUGUAGGCGGCUCGGUAAGUCCGCUCUGAAAGCCCGGGGCUCAACCCCGGGAGGCGGGUGGAUACUGCUGAGCUCGAGUCCGGAAGAGGAGUGUGGAAUUCCUGGUGUAGCGGUGAAAUGCGCAGAUAUCAGGAGGAACACCGGUGGCGAAGGCGGAUCUCUGGGCCAUUACUGACGCUGAGGAGCGAAAGCGUGGGGAGCGAACAGG
rnacentral:rRNA from 1 species